AGUCACUCCCAGGUUUUCAAAGGGUGAGGGUUUGUCUCUUGAGCAGGAGACAGGCACCUUGGACAGAGCAGCAGGGGAGCAUAGAAGGGCUCUGGCCUGAUACCUGCCAGACUGUGGGCCCUGAUAGAAAGGGCCUAGAGGGUGUGAAGGGCCACAGGGGAAGUGGCCCAGGGACAGUUAGACAAGGGGAGAGAAGGAGGGCAGGAAGGCUGCUACUAGAGGGUGCCUGGGUCAGGACCCAGAGUAGUGAGUGGGCUAGACUCCCCUCCCCUGCCCUUCUUCCUUGUAUAGCACCCACCCAUGGAAGGGUGGCUGUGACAGACUGCAACUGGCCCUUGAACAGAGGGGCUAGACUCGAAGGGUUGUGGUUGGCCACUGUGGCAGGAGUGAACUGGACAGACUGCUGUUAACCCCCCCCCCCCACUCCAGAAGUGGGUGAGGGUGGACUUGAGGGCACUGCCAGAGGGCUGUGUUCUGAAAAGGAUGCUGCUGAGUGAGGAGCAAUGCAGGUCCAGAUGCCAGCAGGGUGAGAGACAGAUGGGACAUCACCAGCAGAGGUGCUCCACAGAGGACAGUUAAUUCCUAGAUUGCCAGUGGGAGGUGCUGCAGUGGUACCACAAGAGGACAAAAAAAGACACAAGGAAUGUGGUUUAAGUGGGCCACAACUUUAUUAAGUAACAUCUGGGAACUAUCCAGCAAUACCACAUCCAGUGCAAGUCAUCCAUCCUUUGCAAUCGGUUCCACUUGGCAGAAGGUCACCAUCAAUCCCAACCCUGUGAGCCUGGUCUCCCAAUCAUUACUGGGACCCCACUGCCCUGCCUAAGGGGAGGGGAACAGGUGGUUGUCUCCUUGCUGUACCAGACAUUAGGAGCUCCAACCAAUUCUCCACAUUCUUUAGGACAUUCCUUCUCCUAAUCCGCUUCCAAAUUCUGGUUGAUCAGUCAACCAGAGCCACCUCUGAAAAUUAUCUGGGCUGGACAUCAGCCAAGUUGUGACAAUUAAUUUCAUAACUCAACAUUCCCUCUGGGUUGCUGAAAGGAAGGUAAAGAAAACCCAUACCAUGCGACCAGUGUGACAGGGAGGGAAAAGGCCUACAGCAAAACCCAACAACCUGGUCUUACUCUAAUCACAGAGGGUUGGUGGGGAGGAGAGGAGGGGGAUAGUGGUUCCUCCCCCCCCCCCCCCCCCAGACAGAACACCACCUCCUGGCAUGGUGAAGUUCUUCUUAUCCCUUCCCUUGUGCGUCUAGCAGCCAAUAAGAUUAUGCUGCACUCUUCUGUCUAACUAAUCAGCCAAAGAGGACUCCUCCUCAAACCCAUGAGGAGAAGAGUGGACUUGCCAUUCUUAAUGGGGCUGAGGGUUCUCUUCCCCUGCUGGUCCAGACAAAACCUUCCCAUCUUCGAGAGUACGGGAAGUGUGGAGGCAUUUGAAAAUAAGGUUCUUAUGACCUUCUCCUGAGCAUUGUUAUAUGCAGCUCUUCUUAUCUGAGGAUACCAGAUCCAUCAGAAUGAGACACUAUUUACUGAAACGAAUUGUCUUGUCAACUUUUAUUGGUUCAUGAGGAGAGAUUUGCCAGUUCCUUCUCUGCCUCUUUUGUAUAGUUUUUGAUCUACGUGUCAGCUAUGGAAUGUUUGAAAUACAUCCACUUUCAGAAAAAGUGGCUGAUUCAAAAACAGGACAAUCUUAUGGCUAAAGACUGCUACAGUGCUUUUUUUUUUUUUUGCUUGUAUCUAGACUUGUACCUAACUAGCACUGGAUGAAAUUAUUAAAGAAAACUUGUUUCAUUACAAAUAGCAAUGUCAAACUAAUUUUUUCAUUAAAUAUUUUCAGUAUAGUUUUCCAUUUUUCAAAACAUUCAAAGCAAAACAUUUCAGGGUAAAUUGGCCCCAAAUUUUAUAUUUUUUUUUUUUCUUAGAAAAGUAUGAAAAAGUUUGAAAAAAUAACAUUCAUUAUUAAAUUUUAAUUUUUUGAAACUCUUUUUAAGUGAGACAAAACAUAGCGAUUUUUUUUUACCAUUUGGAAGAUAUACACAUACUCAAAAAAAAAAAGUGAGAAAGUAUCUAAGUAAUACCUUUCAUACUUUGAUACUGUUUUCCAGGUGGCAAAAAUGGGGAGAAAUAGUGUAGAAAAACCUCUCAAUUUCUUUGAAUUUUUCCUUAUUUCCCAAUGUGAAUUUCAAUUAACUAUUUUUCUUCAAAAAAUUGCAGUGGGAAAAAUUACCAGAGGUGGGAAGGCUAAAUUCACAGCUGGUGUCAGUACUCUACUUUCACUUACAUCAGUUUGAGUUUACCAAUAUUGACUUCAGUAUCACCUCGGGACAUGAGGACAAUGUAUAGGUUUGUAUAUUUAGAAAGGAGUAUUUGUGUGGGAAUCAAGUUAUUCACACAAGGCUUCAGGAUUUUAAGCAAUCAUGGGGCUGUAAUCAAAAUGUGGUGAUUAAUACCAAUACAUUGGAAUUUAUACAUAUUUACCAUCCAGGACUGGUUACAGAUGCAAGAGGAACAUGCAAAAAACUGUAUUACAUAGAUCCAAGAGGUGCUCAUUUUUGUGGUGGUUAUAUAGAAUAAGGGGAUUUUAUGAUGGCUAAAUACAAAUAAAGUGUCUGUUUCAAUACACUUGGAAGUAUUCAUGAGUUUAAUUGCCUUCAUGA